UGGAAAAACCUUGCGUAGGAGCAGUCCUCCAUAGGAAUGAAUAUAAUUCUACAGUAUUUCAAUUAAAUAUUGCAAGGACAAAAUUACAUGUAUUUAAGUAUUUGUUUGUUGUAGUGGGAACACUUUCUAACUCUUAGACAUAAACGUUAUGUUUCACUAUAUUGGAUCGCUGUAAUAUAUUGGUAUCACUCCGCGGCAGAGGGAUACAUCUGAGGAACAAGCUCGUAUAGCUUCUAGUGGUUCCUGCUUUUCUAUGAAUAACAAGUACAAAGCCUCCCCGAGCCGGCUACCCCUAGAACAUCAACCUGGUGGUGGGCUGGCUCGGCUACCCCAAGAACAUCAACCUGGUGGUGGGCCGUUGCGGCUACCCCAAGAACAUCAACCUGGUGGUGGGCUGGCUCGGCUACCCCAAGAACAUCAACCUGGUGGUGGGCCGUUGCGGCUACCCCAAGAACAUCAACCUGGUGGUGGGCCGUUGCGGCUACCCCAAGAACAUCAACCUGGUGGUGGGCCGUUGCGGCUACCCCUAGAACAUCAACCUGGUGGUGGGCUGGCUCGGCUACCCCAAGAACAUCAACCUGGUGGUGGGCCGGCUCGGCUACCCCAAGAACAUCAACCUGGUGGUGGGCGGCUCGGCUACCCCAAGAAGAUCAACCUGUCCACUAGGUGUCAGACUACACCACUUUUGUUACUGGCAUGUAUUUGUGCUUCAUGCCAGUUCAUGACUGAGAUAGGUUUGGGUACACCUGCACUUGUCUUUUCUUACUAUCAGUGACAGCUGCUUUAUGGAGGGAAAGUUUUACUUACUAUGACUGUAAUAUAUGGUUGUAUCACCUAUCUAGUACAUUCAUCUUAAGGUAGCUAACUAUAAGUCACUCUGGAUAAGAGUGUCUGGUAAAUUACAUGUAGUAUUUGUGCAGUAUAAUAUUGUGUAAUCUAUAAAUGACUGUAUAUCUUAUACAGACAGUGUGUGUGCGCAAAAUAGACAAACACAGAAAGCUUUUUUUUAAAUGUAAUUGAUACACCUGGUCCAAUACUUUAACAAACUUGGAAAAUAAACAGCAGUUGACAGGUUUCAAACAAAGAA